rnacentral:tRNA from 1 species
CCCGGCGCGGCGAAAUCGGUAAACGCGGAGAGCUCACACCUAUCUGGGCUUCGGCCCCUGCGGGUUCGAGUCCUGCCGCCGGCA